rnacentral:rRNA from 1 species
GCUUACACAUGCAAGUCGAGGGGUAUAGAAGGCUUGCUUUCUAGAGACCGGCAAACGGGUGCGGAACACGUACACAACCUACCUUUAUCAGGGGAAUAGCCCAGAGAAAUUUGGAUUAAUGCCCCAUAGUAUAUUUUGAUGGCAUCAUUAGAAUAUUAAAGAACUUCGGAUAGAGAUGGGUGUGCGUAAGAUUAGCUAGUUGGUAAGGUAACGGCUUACCAAGGCGACGAUCUUUAGCUGAUGUGAGAGCAUGAUCAGCCACACGGGCACUGAGACACGGGCCCGACUCCUACGGGAGGCAGCAGUGAGGAAUAUUGGUCAAUGGACGGAAGUCUGAACCAGCCAUGCCGCGUGAAGGAUGAAGGCGUUCUGCGUUGUAAACUUCUUUUAUCUGAGAAGAAACCACCGAUUUCUAUUGGUGUUGACGGUAUCAGAUGAAUAAGCACCGGCUAACUCCGUGCCAGCAGCCGCGGUAAUACGGAGGGUGCAAGCGUUAUCCGGAUUUACUGGGUUUAAAGGGUGUGUAGGCGGACUUAUAAGUCAGGGGUGAAAUCUCCGAGCUCAACUCGGAAACUGCCUUUGAUACUAUUAGUCUUGAAUUAUGUUGAGGUUGGCGGAAUAUAACAUGUAGCGGUGAAAUGCAUAGAUAUGUUAUAGAACACCGAUUGCGAACGCAGCUGGCUAAACAUAUAUUGACGCUGAGCACGAAAGCGUGGGUAGCGAACAGGAUUAGAUACCCUGGUAGUCCACGCCCUAAACGAUGAUUACUCGUCAUUGGCGAUACACAGUCAGUGACCAGCGAAAGCGUAGUAUCCACCUGGGAGUACGACCGCAGUGAAC